UGUGGCAGACUAGUGCAUUGGACUUAAAAUCCUUUUAAAAAGACUUAUAUCUUUUAUUAAAA
rnacentral:tRNA from 1 species